ensembl:ncRNA mir-4948 mir-4948 stem loop
GUCGUAGAUGUGGGCGUAGGUGGCGGCGGGCGUGGCGUGCGUGAUCCUGGUUGUGGUGACCACGCCGGUGCGCUUGCCCUCCUUCUGGGCCCACUCCAUGACGCUC